CUGAACCAGCCAAGUAGCGUGAAGGGUGACUGUCCUAUGGGUUGUAAACUUCUCUUAUAAACGAAUAAAGUCGGGUAUGGAUACCCGUUUGCAUGUACUUUAUGAAUAAGGAUCGGCUAACUCCGUGCCAGCAGCCGCGGUAAUACGGAGGAUCCGAGCGUUAUCCGGAUUUAUUGGGUUUAAAGGGAGCGUAGAUGGAUGUUUAAGUCAGUUGUGAAAGUUUGCGG
rnacentral:rRNA from 1 species